rnacentral:rRNA from 1 species
UGGAAUAAUGAAAUAGGACGUUUGAUCCUAUUUUGUUGGUUUCUAGGAUUGACGUAAUGAUUAAUAGGGAUAGUUGGGGGCAUUAGUAUUCAAUUGUCAGAGGUGAAAUUCUUGGAUUUAUUGAAGACUAACUACUGCGAAAGCAUUUGCCAAGGAUGUUUUCAUUAAUCAAGAACGAAAGUUAGGGGAUCGAAGACGAUCAGAUACCGUCGUAGUCUUAACCAUAAACUAUGCCGACUAGGGAUCGGAUGAUGUUAAUUUUUUAAUGACUCAUUCGGCGCCUUACG